UACGAAGGGAGCUAGCGUUGUUCGGAAUCACUGGGCGUAAGGCGCACGUGGGCGGAUGUGUCAGUCAGGGGUGAAAUCCCGGAGCUCAACUUCGGAACUGCCUUUGAUACAGCACGUCUUGAGUCCGGAAGAGGUGGGUGGAAUUCCUAGUGUAGAGGUGAAAUUCGUAGAUAUUAGGAAGAACACCGGUGGCGAAGGCGGCCCACUGGUCCGGUACUGACGCUGAGGUGCGAAAGCGUGGGGAGCAAACAGG
rnacentral:rRNA from 1 species